rnacentral:misc_RNA from 1 species
AAGUCGUAACAAGGUAACCGUAGGUGAACCUGCGGUUGGAUCAUUACUUUUGUAUGUUACGGUGCGCGCUCUCUCUUUCCAAGAGUGUGUGGGGUCCCUCUAGAGGGGGGCUCUACUUCUUUAGGAGUAUAUGUAUGGAGAUCGAGUCGCACCGCAAUGUGUUAACCCCUGUGAACCGAAGCGUAUCUGGCCUCUUUGCCGAGGCCGACUUUUUAUAGCAACACCUUUUAACCGACGUAACUGAUGAUAAAAAAGAGUAAAUGAGAACAACUUUUGACAACGGAUCUCUAGGCUCUC